rnacentral:rRNA from 1 species
GUGGGGAAUAUUGGACAAUGGGGGGAACCCUGAUCCAGCCAUGCCGCGUGUGUGAAGAAGGCCUUUUGGUUGUAAAGCACUUUAAGCGAGGAGGAGGCUACCGAGAUUAAUACUCUUGGAUAGUGGACGUUACUCGCAGAAUAAGCACAGGCUAACUCUGUGCCAGCAGCCGCGGGAAUACAGAGGGUGUAAGCGUUAAUCGGAUUUACUGGGCGUAAAGCGCGCGUAGGUGGCCACUUAAGUCAAAUGUGAAAUCCCCGAGCUUAACUUGGGAAUUGCAUUGGAUACUGGUUGGCUAGAGGAUGGGAGAGGAUGGUAGAAUUCCAGGUGUAGCGGUGAAAUGCGUAGAGAUCUGGAGGAAUACCGAUGGCGAAGGCAGCCAUCUGGCCUAAUACUGACACUGAGGUGCGAAAGCAUGGGGAGCAAACAGGAUUAGAUACCCGUGUAGUCC